GGGGAUGUACGUCAGUGGUACAGAGCUUGCCUAGUAUGCAUGAGGCCCUGGGUUCAAUCCACAGCAUCACAA
rnacentral:tRNA from 1 species